AGGGGAGAUGCCGAGCGGUUGAGGCAAUCGUCUCCAAAACGAUCCCCUGGCAGGUUCGACUCCUGUCUCCCCUGCC
rnacentral:tRNA from 1 species